GCUUGCUUAGCUCAAUUCGGUAGAGCUUUGGUUUUGUAAACCAAAGGUUAUCGGUUCAAGUCCGAUAGCAAGCU
rnacentral:ncRNA from 15 species